rnacentral:rRNA from 1 species
GACAGAGGCCCCAAGCGUUAGGCGGAAUCACUGGGCUUAAAGCGUGUGUAGGCGGAUCGUUAUGUGUCUUGUGAAAUCCCACGGCUCACCCGUGGAACUGCUGGGCAUACUGGCGAUCUUGGGCCAACUAGGGGCAGUCGGAACAAGCGGUGGAGCGGUGAAAUGCGUAGAUAUCGCUUGGAACGCCGAAGGUGAAAACAGACUGCUGGGGUUGCGCCGACGCUGAGACACGAAAGCCAGGGGAGCAAACGGG